AGCCUCAACAAGAUUACAGGUUGC
rnacentral:siRNA from 1 species